AGUUGGUUUGCUGAUACAUUGAUAGGAAUAUAAAAAUAUCCAGUGUCCAAUAACGUAAAAUUCAGAAUGUCUGGCGUCCCACCAAAAAUAACCCUGCAUGCAAAGAAGCAAGAAAUUACUGCCCUUAUUGAGGAGAUAAACUGAUAAAGUUAAGCCAGGCUGACAAAGAUUUUAGAAUUAGUAGGCAUUAAAAGUUAUUGUCACUGUAACCCAUACUUCCAAAAGUUAAAUUGAGAUAUGGAAUAUAUUAAAGUUUAAAAUUUUAAAAAUUUAAAUUUUUAAAAAUAAAAAAUUGAACUUCCAGAGACAGAAAUACAAUGUCUGAGAUGAAAGAGCCACUGGAUGAUAGGAUUAACAACAGAUUAGAUUUUGCAGAAGAAAGUAUUAGUGAACUUGAAGGUUUAGUCAUAGAAAUGAUCCCAAAUGAAACAAAAAGAGCAGGGGAUGUAUUUGCUUUAUAAGGUGACUUCAAUAAGUUACCAAAAGCUCACUUCUAUUGCCCUUGAUAAAGUCUCUGUGUUGAUCUAAACAAACAUUUUUUCUUUUUAAAUAGGCUUUAUACACAACAUGGGAGUUGAACUCAUGACCCUGGAAUCAAGAGUUGCAUGUUGACUGAUAGCCAAGCAGCCCAUCCAAAAGUUCACUUCUAGAGGUCUUCUGUCUUCUAAGACUUUCUGCAAUGCAUAUAGAGACCAUGAUCGCAUUCAAAGCAAGUUGUAUUUGCUUCCUAAGUGACAAGAAGGCUGACGAGCAGGGAGACUUGGUCAUCAUGCCCGUGAUUGCUUGGAUCUUGAACUCCAUCUCCGUGCUGCCCCACCUUGUUCAAUUUACUGCUGAGGGACCGACCAACUGUGAGUCUCUGGUUUGACUGCAGACCUGUUCAAUGCCUUGGGAGCGGACCCCAUGCCAGUCUUAAUAAAAAGCACACUGCUUCUGGGGCUCA
rnacentral:lncRNA from 1 species